rnacentral:rRNA from 1 species
CUGAAAUAAUUUAAUUUAACUUUUGUAUAACCGCAACUGCUGGCACAAAAUUAGCUAUUAAUUUCUAUAUUACUAAAUCUUAAUUUCUUAAAUUUUUAAUUUUAAUUACUACAGCAACACCUUUAUUAUUAUUAAAAUAAUCAAAAUCUCGUACUAAAAUUUAUAUGUAAAAUAAAUUUAUAAUAAAUUGUGAAAAACAUAAAAAUUUUAUC